UGCAGGUAUUCUGGAUGAAGUUUUCGUUGCCCUAAAGGAGAAAGUGGCUGCAAUGAGUCCCAGUGAGAGACACGCUUGUGUUUUGAUGGAUGAAAUGCAAAUUUCACCUGGGCUAGAUUAUGAUGCUUCCACAGGCAGCAUCAUAGGGCAACCAACUAUUGGUCUGUCGAAUCCAGCCUUGAAGCAAGAACUUGCAUCUCAUGCAUUGGUUUUCAUGCUUGGGGGCUAAACAAGCAGGUGGAAGCAAGCAGUUGCUUAUCAUUUCACAGGCUCGUCUUUCGAUGCUCGGCAAGUUAAGGUUUGCCUGUUUGAAGUCGUACAACAUGCAGAGGCAGCUGGGAUGACCAUUGAUGCGGUUGUAACAGACAUGGGCCCAGGGAACAUGGCCAUCUGGCGUCUGUGCAAUAUUCAGGCAACAAAAUAUGGGAAACCAAACCUGUCAUGCCCCCACCCCUGUGGCCACAACAGGCAACUGUACUUUAUUGCAGAUGCACCACACCUACUAAAAACUUAAGAGGGCAUCUUGUUCGAGGACAAGACAUAAUUCUUGAUCAGGCUACUGUGGCUAAGCAUACCCUGCCAUGCAACAAAGUAAGGCUAAUGAAUUAUGUCUUCGGUUGUAAUGCAUUCUUAUUGAUGGAGCAUGUCCCUUAAAAAGAGCAUUCAGUAUAUUUAUUUGGCU